AAAACAAAAAGACUGUUAGCUUCUCACGCUCCCAACGUCUCUCAUCAUCCACUCCCCCACUACCAACAAGACCCUGCUCCACUACCUCCUCUUUCCCUCUACUGUACGAAAAAGAAAAGAAAAAAACAAAAAAGAGAAUCCCUACAAAUGAUCCUCGCUCUCUCACUCGGGCACGAUUCACUCCACCAUCUCCUCAUUCUCUCACUCUCAGCAUAAGAAAAAACACUCACAUCACUCAGUAAAACCUUUUCCUCUUCCUAAGAGACCACUCACUAUUCACUGGGCUCUCUCUCAGAAAACCCAUACGCAAUCCCUUCCUCCGUCGGUAACCCGCGUUUAACCAACAACAUCGCCUCACCUUCCCUCUAUGAUCUUCACCUCUUCACCACUGCGAAACCCUUUCCACACCUUCAUCGUCGCUCUUCAAAACCUAUUACCGCCGCUCAUCAAGCAACCGCCGAAACCCUAAACCCUUCAUCACCUCCAUCGCUAGUCCUCAAUCGCCGCCGCCAUCCAUCACCACUUCACGCCACCACCUUCAAAUCUCUCACACUCCUUCAAACCACCGCCUACCACCAUCGCAAAUCCAUCUUCGUUCCAGCCGCCGCCUACCUUCAACAAACCCACCGGCCUUUAAACCCAAGCUGCAACAUCCAAAACCCCACCGACGAGCUAGCCACCGUCACUCAUCCUUCAUUUUCCGUCAUCCAUCUCCACCAUAAACUCUCCGUCUAUGCCGGCAACGAUCCGCCAUCACCACCGGCGAAAACCCCAACGAACACCAUACAACCUCCACGCCGUAACAUCUAAACCAUCAAUCGUCUUCCCCAUUUCAUCCGCCGAAAUACACUGAUUAACCUCCGCCUUGCAAAACCCCCAAAUCCUCACUUCAUUUCGUCCCUUUCGAAAUUCACAAAAAAACCUUUCCGACGAACGUUACAUCGUCACCGUCGCGUUUGAGUUGCAGUUCUGUUUGGUUUAUACCUUGUUUUUAGUUUUCAAUGAACCUUAAAGCAAUUUCCAGGAAGGCUAUUGAACCUUUACAAGUGGGAGAAACAUAUGAGCUGUUGUGAAUUGCACUUGAAGGCCACGGGUAGAAACUCAGUUUCGAAGGGACGUCCCAAACAGCGAAGGAAGGACGAUACGCCCCAACAGACUCAGAGCAGCGGACAGAAAGUGAUAGCUUGGUCGAUUUGGGAUUAAAUUUGUUUAUAGUUACGGUAACAGUCCGUGUCGUGUUUCUUCUUGAUAUUAUGUUGUUUGCUACAGCCACUGUUUUGAUUCAAACUCGGUUGCAUUAGUCCAUGUUGGUUGUUGGUAUUAGAAUGUUGUAAUGCUCUUUUCUAGGAUAUUCCCAAUGCGAUUGUGCUGUUGUCGUUAUGUGUUGAAGUUGUCGUGUUUAUUACAAGAUUAAUUGAGGAUUUAAUUUCAUACUGUUAUCAAUUGUUUUGUUUAUUGACAUCUUUGGGUAAAACACUAGGAGAAGUUGUAUGUAUUAAAUGAGAGCAUCAGAAUUAAAGUUUAAACUUAUUAUACAUUGCAGUAACGUUGUUACCUUGAUUGGUUAA